rnacentral:rRNA from 1 species
UACGUAGGUGGCAAGCGUUGUCCGGAUUUACUGGGCGUAAAGGGCGUGCAGGCGGUUUGUCUAGUCUAGGGUGAAAGCUCCCGGCUUAACUGGGAGAGGUCCUUGGAUACUGGCAAACUUGAGGGAGGCAGAGGAAAGUGGAAUUCCCGGUGUAGUGGUGAAAUGCGUAGAGAUCAGGCGGAACACCCGUGGCGAAGGCGGCCAGCUGGGCCGUCCCUGACGCUGAGGCGCGAAGGCGUGGGGAGCGAACGGG